rnacentral:rRNA from 1 species
GGGUGAGUAACACGUGGAUAACCUACCUAUAAGACUGGGAUAACUUCGGGAAACCGGAGCUAAUACCGGAUAAUAUAUUGAACCGCAUGGUUCAAUAGUGAAAGACGGUUUUGCUGUCACUUAUAGAUGGAUCCGCGCCGCAUUAGCUAGUUGGUAAGGUAACGGCUUACCAAGGCAACGAUGCGUAGCCGACCUGAGAGGGUGAUCGGCCACACUGAACUGAGACACGGUCCAG